CCCUUAGAUGUUCUGGGCUGCACGCGCGCUACACUGAUGCACUCAACGAGUUUACGACCUUGCCCGAUAGGGUUGGGUAAUCUUUUUAAAAUGCAUCGUGAUGGGGAUAGAUUAUUGAAAUUAUUAAUCUUGAACGAGGAAUUCCUAGUAAACGCAGAUCAUCAAUCUGCAUUGAUUACGUCCCUGCCCUUUGUACACACCGCCCGUCGCACCUACCGAUUGGAUGGUCCGGUGAAGCCUCGGGAUUGUGGUUCUUGCCGCUUUAUUGUGGCGUGACCGCGAGAACUUGUCUAAACCUUAUCAUCUAGAGGAAGGUGAAGUCGUAACA
rnacentral:rRNA from 1 species